rnacentral:lncRNA from 1 species
AAUGAAGUUGAUAAAGAACUUCAAGUUACAAGUCAAUUUAAAGAUAAAAGUCAUCCCAUAAAUAUUUGAGACGACUUAUAUACACUCAAAAAGGCUCGCUAGAACAAAUCUCAUGAUAAACAUUAAUUAAUCUCUCACCCCAAAGAUCAUGGAGAGAAUCUGCUAAAAUAGUUAGAGCUUCCAAAUUCGAGAUUUCUACAUAAUUUUCUAGUUCUACACGUUUUAAUUCAAAUAAAUAUAUAAAACUAACAAUUGUAAUACUUGGGGACGUCUUACAAGAAUUGAACUCUUUCAGUUUUUUCUCUCUUUCUCUUCGUAUAGCCCUCUCAUUUCGUAACAAAUUUUGUAUCGUCCUGGGGACACCAUUUCAUAUGAUCUUACGAUCUCGAAAAUAUGUCCUUUGACGACGUAUUCUUUCACUUUGUCUCUUUGCUUGACAUCCUGAACUCCCACAUGGAGUGAUUCGAGUUUGUCCCCGUUCAGCCAUGUCUCAAAUCGGAACCAAGAAAUAAUAAGAAUGAUCGAACCACUCAUUGUGACAUUUUAUGUCACAAUUUAUUUACAGAAUGCAAAAUCCUUUAAGGAUAAAUUAGGGACUAAAUGAGACAAAAUAAUAUCAAGAUUGAUUCUUACACAUUUAAAUCACAAACAUGUCCCCAAAAAAUAUUUAAGUGGUUACACUCCACUAAAAUUAUGUCCCUUUUUUUAAAAAAAAU